GCGAAGGAACAGACGUAUUGAUGCAUUCUUUACAUCUGAAGUAACGCACGUGCUGUCACCUCCCUCCCCCUCCCCUGCGCCUCUGUUUGUUCUUUCGGCUGCGUUUUGUGUGUGUGUGUGUCUUCUUUCUCUGGGGUGCUGCACCCACCCUCCCCUCCCCCAUACCCGCAGCGCUGCCGUGCACGCACCAGCCCACUACCCAGCACACGCAGCGCUGCCUUCAUUCCGUUUUUCCUUCGUUGCUCGUUUGGUGCCUGCAAUCAUUUCUUUAGCGGCUCCAGUAGCGACACGCCACGGCAGCUCAGAGGCUUGUGGAAGCCGUUUCGCGCAGCCAUGCACCCCGAGUCCACCGCCUUCCGCACGCCAUCUUCGGGUGUAGCCACGGAGGACACAACAAUCAUACCCUCGUACUCAAAGGCAGAGUCGACAGAUGGUGCGCCUCCGGUCGCCCCGCCAGCCGCACUCGCAGACCCACAGCUAGCGACUUUAUCAGCCCAAAGUGUGAACGCAUCUUUUGCACUCACAUGCCGCAGCAGCUCCAUGCUUGCCUCCCAGGCGCAGCUAUCCAGAUCGCACGGUCCGGCAUCGAUAUCUCGCCCUCACUCCGACGUCGGCCUCGACGGUGAGCCAGCGGCGCCUUUCGAGGUGCCGCACUUCUCGACUGUCUCUCUCCUCAUUGUGUGGAUGCUGGACUGCGCUGUGGGGCUCUUCUCGCUUGUCCUGUCUGACGUGUACGUGAACCAGUACCCAGAGUUUCCGCUCAUGUUCUUUCUGGCUCUUGGCUCGCACUUGAACGUCCUAGCUGGCUUCUUUGUAUAUCUGCUCGGCCGCGAGAAGUACGGCCACAAGGUGUAUCGGUUCUAUCAGCCUUUUGCCGGCGGUGUGCAGUUUGUCACGCUGCAGUGCUUUGGAGUCACGUGCGUGUCGUCCUCGCUGCUGCUGACGGCGGCGUACGCGCUUCUCUUCGAGCCCUCAGUGAAUCAUUCGCACGGCUUCAUGAGCACGAUUGGCGUACUGGCGCUGUUUGGCAACAUUCUUCUCUUGCUCUCGCUGCGGAGUUUCACCUUCCACGACUGCGCCAAGGCCUCGGAGCCGGGAUCGACUACCGCGUCAUUGGGCACCGGCUCAGCCUUCCUGGCGGACAAAGGCCUCUCCGCAUUCCUGCGGUAUCUGCGCCGCCGCCCCAAUGCAGAGAGCGCGCUGGAGGUGGCAUUGCUGACGGCACAGAGCGCGUUCAGCAUGGUGGCGAUCCGCUUUCCACGGCUGCAAGAGAUUAUCUUCCGCGUGAACCUUGCGAUCACACUGGCCUGUGGGACGUUGAGUCUGUGCUUCGUUGGCUAUCGGCGCUCUCUCGGCUUCAUCAGCUUCCGCUUGCGGAUGCAUCGCACCUUUGACACCGUUCUUCUGUGGCUGUCGCGGUUUCUGUACGUCGCCGCAGCGUUUGCGAAUGUGCUGUUGCUCAUGGACGCCGGUGUGCACACAGUAACGCCGUUGUCUGUGCUAGCCGUGCAGGGACUGAGCGUCGUGAGUUGCGUGGCGCUGCUGAUGUUUCUGCGCACGAUGCGCUAUGAGGCUCUGGCGAAUACGCCGAACGUUCCAAGCAGUGUGUUCGAGCUCGGCGGCGUGGUGGCGGUGGCGACGGCGUUUCUGCUAGCAUGCCUGAACGUGAGCAUCUUUUUUUAUGUACAGAACUACCCCGACGGCCUCGACGAGGCGGUGGAGGGGACAAGCUGGACGUACCAGGGGGUGCUGGUGUUUGUGUCGCAGCUGGCUCAGCUCGUCUCUCUGCUACCAACGCCCAUGGUAUACGUGUCGGGCGUGAUUAUGCAUGACGAUCACUUUCGCAUGCUGGCCAGAAACCGCUCAGUCGAAACGCUACCGGUGUUGCUGCUGCAGGCCCUGAGCUAUCUGCUUUACGUCGCCGCCAUCAUCAGUUUCACGCUCUUUCUGUCCAGCAGUGCUCCUGCCAUCGCCCCGCUGGAGGCGGUGCUGUCAACGCUCAGCGUUUUCUGCAUGACGUGUGCCGUACGACUGUGCAGCUCCUUGACGUACAAAUUGCGCGCCUUUCUCGCUGCCGUGGUGGAGGAGCCCCCGUCGGAGCCGACCACGGUGGGGAAAAAGCCGGCUACCAAGGCGGUCGUAAGCCUUGACUCAGUGCUCCCUGUACACACCGAGCCGUCACCCGGCCUUCGCAGCAGGAUGGCGGAGGAGCUGGCCAACACAGCUUACAUCAUGAACGGUGAGAUGAUAUUCAGCUACCUUCUGUGCCUAACGAACUUGCUGCUGCGGCUCCUUGUUGACAUUUCUUUGCAUCAUGUUUGGGGCGAGGUGGAGCUGCCACACGCGCGCCUCAUCAUGAUCGCCAACGCCUGCUUCAUCGCGUGCGUGCCGCUGGCGCACUACUCGGGCAGAGACAAAGGCGUGCAGGUUUUUCACCCCUUCACCGGCAGCGGCAGUUUUGUGGCGCUGCAGGUGCUUGGCUGGAUGAUCUACGCGAUUUGCGUCAUCAUCAUCAUCCUCGGUACCAUUGUCUCCAGCAACUCCAACAGCGUUCCCGCCGAGUGGCACGCUCUUAUAGCGGAGGGCCCUGUGAUGUACACCCUGUUCGGCGUCCUGGAGCUGAUUCCGGUCGUCCUCAUCACGCUGUCCAUCGCGAUCGAGGCCCGCUACACCAUGGCGACGGCACUGCAGCAGCGCUUGGCGAAGGAGUCGUUCCUGGAGCUGCGCCGCUUCAUGCGCGAGGAGUUAGCAGACAAGUCGGACGAGGAGAAGGCCGUUGCCCAGGUCGCGUUCCGAACGCUCAUGACGGCAGCGCUGCACAGCUUUGACAUUCCGUGCACCGACGGCCUCCUCCGCAUAUAUAAGGACCCAGCGGCAGCGCGACGUACCGGGAGAGGCUCCCGCGCGCAGAACAGCUGCAGCACCGGCAGUGACGAUGACGACGGCAGCGCCGAAGAAAACCAAAGCAGAGAAAGCUCUGACUGGAGUUGCAGUGGCGAGGACUUGACGAUUCGCCGCCGGCGCCAAGAGGGCGCACGUGUGCUUGUGUUUCUGCUCUGCUGCGCGUCAGCUGCCUUCUUCGUGAUAGCGGCGUUCAUGGCGAAGGUAAUGGUUUUGUCGUUGGCGUUCGCUGUGACUGCGAUGCUCAUAUGCACGAUUUCGUGCAUCGGCUUACAUGCUGGGUAUGGGAUGGUCCUCCACGGUGAGCCGAGCGUGUAUGUGCCAUUUAUGCCGUUCCGCGGUGGGUCACAGUUUGUUGUUCGGCAGAUGGCAGGAUGGUGCUGCUACGCAGGCGCGUUCCUGGUGACGCUAAUCACGUCGAUCGAGUCCGCGGAGGUGUCCGCCACGGCGAUGCUGAUUGCCGCGUUGCUGUCGGUGACGAGUCAGGUUUUCAUCUUCAGCUCUGUCCCUCUGUUUUCCCACCGGCGCGGCGAGCCGACGUUCCUGGAGGUGAACGGCGAGGGCAUCGUCGCCCUGUUCACCUUUUCAGGCGCGAUGGCGUUUGGACGAGUUUACACUCCCCUUGUGGCCUUCUUUGGGCGCGACACACAGCACUACCUCCAUUACGGCGACGAGAGCUCCGCCUCCCGCAGAACACGCGUGCCAUUUGUGCUGGCAGUGAUGAGCCUCUCACUAGCGGUGCCGUGUACGCUCAUCGCCCUGAGUCGAACGAAGCUGCAAUGGGAGCGUGUCAUGCACACCGGCACCGCAGCGGAGGCGGUAUCCAAGCAAAGCCCCUCGUCCACGAGGAGGGAGCGUCAUCGCACAAUGUUGGCGAAAGGGAUUUCGAACCUGAUAGAGGUACUUGCCAUCGUGCUGGCCACCUUUGCCCCACUGUCGAUUGGGUUCUUGAUAUUUUACUUUUUUACGCAGUACACGCCGCGUCUGGUGCAGGUGAUGGAAGCCUACCUGCCGGUCUGCUUCGCUCUCACCGCGCUGACACUGGUGCUGUCUGUGGUGCCGUAUGUGGUGGACGUCGGCGUGCCGCUGUUCGUGGUGACGGUGCGUGUGACGGUUGUGACGUGGAUGCUAUACUGCAUGCCCGUGCUCGCUGGGGGUCUCCUGCUCCUCCCGGCGCUGAUUGCGCCGCGGCACAGCACCCUCUUCCUUGCGUGCGGCGCGUUUGUCAUGCUGAUGGCGGGCAACUUCAAGAAGGUGCGGCUUGCGAUGAAGCUUGCGGUGUACGCUGUGAUCGGCUACCUGACGUACCAGAGGUGCAUGCUGCACGCCGUGGGCGGCCCGUCGUGGGGGAUGGCGCGCGCGCUUGGCGUGCACGUCGUGGACUGCGCGGUGCUCGGCGCGUGGCUGUGGUACCUCCCGCUGUACUCGGGCAAGCCGUACCACACAGGGUCGCAGCGCAGCCUGCGCUUCACGGAGUUCGCGCGCAACUACCUGUUUGCCGACGCGGUGAAGUACUUCAACUUCCGCGUGAUUGUGGACGACCCCGCCGUGCAGAUGCGGGACGACACGUCGCAAUACCUGUUCUCCUUCCAUCCCCACGGCGUGUUCCCCGGCACGGCACUGUUUGCGUCUCUGACGGCGGAGUGGGCCCUCAAGGUCGGCGUCAACGCGCAGCGCUAUGUGUCGACGCAUGUCGCGAGCGUUGUUUUCAACGCGCCACUGCUGCGAGACUUCAACCUGCGUCUCGGUGCGCUGUCAGUGAGCCGGCGCUCUGUGGAGGCGAGCCUCAAGCGCGGCAACAGCGUCCUUAUCGUGACGGGUGGCCAGGCGGAGAUGCUGCGCACGCAGGUAAGCUCGGAGAGGAUGAUCCUGAUCACGCAGCACACGGGCUUUAUACGGCUGGCUAUCGCAUCACGGGUGCCGCUGGUGCCGCUGCUGUGCUUUGCGGAGAACAACGUGUUGGGGAUGCUGCAGUUUCCGCGCAUCCAGCGCCUCUCGCUCAAGCUCCUGGGCUUUCCGUUCCCGGUGAUUCCCCUUGGCCGAUUCGGUCUGCCUCUGCCGUUCCGCACGCCGCUGACGCUUGUGGUGGGGCCGCCGCUUGCUAUUCCCGAGGGUGCGGACGAGAACAACCCCGAUGACAUGCGGCGCGUGUCGGAGGCGUACUUCCAGUCGCUGAAGGACCUGUUCUACCGCCGCCGCGCGGAGGCCGGCUACCCUGGCAUGGAGCUCGUACUGCUGAACGAGAAGGAGGAGGCGCGGAAGCGCAGGCAGGCCCGCGAGGCCGCGGCGUCCACGGCGAAGAAGGCAGCGUAGAUGGUCUGUUGCUGCUUGCUGUGCGUGUGUGUGCUUGCUGCCCUCCCCCUUCCUCCGCUGCGCGUGGGCGAUCUCAUCUGCUUCGUGGCGGCAGCUGCUGGCGCGUCGCUGACUCUUCACGGAUUGGCUGCACUCUGCGUCGUGGCAUUGCAUCUUGAGGCAUGCGGGUGUUCGCAGCGCCUCGCUCCCAUCUUUCGCCCUCUCCGCACCCCUUCCCGUUUUCCCUCUUCCGAUAUCCGCGAACGCAGUGGUGGCGGUGGUGGGGUUAGCGGAGGAGGGCGUCGCGGAUUCGCAUCGACGCAGGCGCCGACUCGGCGAAGGGCUGCGGAGUGCGGAGGGAUGAGGGGGCGUGGGCGGGGGCAGCCAAACAGGGUCGCGGGAGACGUGGCAGCUGUUCUCCCUCCCUGUUGCCUCCCUCCCUCUUCGGCCUUCCUUACGCAACCGCAGCGAUGCUCAGGACCACUGCCGCUGUGCUCCCGUCCUGUAUAGGUGGUCCUCUCUUUGUUUAGUGCGAUCUGUGCGCGACGCCUGCCGUCCCCCAGUGAUGCUCCUCCACGGACCUUGCUGCUUGUGUGUGGACGUGUGUUGUGUUACUGUUGCCGCUGGGAUUCGCAGUGAUGGCGGGAUCGCGUACAACUGUGCGGCUGCUGCUGUCCGCUGCUGUGGCCUGGCGUGUUUCUCACGAAUGCUCGCGUUGGGUGCAGGCUCGCUGUGCGCCCUCGCCUCUCUGCGUCUUUGCUUUCCUCCCUGACGCGUUCUUCGGUAUAAAAGCGCGUUACCGCGAC
rnacentral:misc_RNA from 1 species